rnacentral:rRNA from 1 species
AGCGGCGGACGGGUGAGUAAUGCUUAGGAAUCUGCCCAGUAGUGGGGGAUAGCCCGGGGAAACUCGGAUUAAUACCGCAUACGCCCUUUUGGGGAANGCNGGGGAUCUUCGGACCUUGCGCUAUUGGAUGAGCCUAAGUCGGAUUAGCUAGUUGGUGGGGUAAAGGCCCACCAAGGCGACGAUCCGUAGCUGGUCUGAGAGGAUGAUCAGCCACAUCGGGACUGAGACACGGCCCGAACUCCUACGGGAGGCAGCAGUGGGGAAUAUUGGACAAUGGGGGCAACCCUGAUCCAGCCAUGCCGCGUGUGUGAAGAAGGCUUUCGGGUUGUAAAGCACUUUCAGUGAGGAGGAAGGCUUUCAGAUUAAUACUCUGGAGGAUUGACGUCACUCACAGAAGAAGCACCGGCUAACUCCNUGCCAGCAGCCNCGGUAAUACGGAGGGUGCAAGCGUUAAUCGGAAUUACUGGGCGUUAAGCGCGCGUANGUGGUUGAGUAANCGANAUGUGAAAGCCCCGGGCUUAACCUGGGAACGGCAUUUCNAAACUGCUCGACUA